rnacentral:rRNA from 1 species
CGCUAGCUACAGGCUUAACACAUGCAAGUCGAGGGGCAGCAUGGUCUUAGCUUGCUAAGGCCGAUGGCGACCGGCGCACGGGUGAGUAACGUGUAUCCAACCUGCCUUACACUCUUGGACAGCCUUCUGAAAGGGAGAUUAGUACAAGAUGUUAUCAUGAGUAAGCAUUUUCACAUGAUUAAAGGUUUACCGGUGUAAGAUGGGGAUGCGUUCCAUUAGAUAGUAGGCGGGGUAACGGCCCACCUAGUCUUCGAUGGAUAGGGGUUCUGAGAGGAAGGUCCCCCACAUUGGAACUGAGACACGGUCCAAACUCCUACGGGAGGCAGCAGUGAGGAAUAUUGGUCAAUGGACGAGAGUCUGAACCAGCCAAGUAGCGUGAAGGAUGAAGGUUCUAUGGAUUGUAAACUUCUUUUAUACGGGAAUAAACGAAUCCACGUGUGGAUUUUUGCAUGUACCGUAUGAAUAAGGAUCGGCUAACUCCGUGCCAGCAGCCGCGGUAAUACGGAGGAUCCGAGCGUUAUCCGGAUUUAUUGGGUUUAAAGGGAGCGUAGAUGGGUUGUUAAGUCAGUUGUGAAAGUUUGCGGCUCAACCGUAAAAUUGCAAUUGAUACUGGCAGUCUUGAGUACAGUUGAGGUAGGCGGAAUUCGUGGUGUAGCGGUGAAAUGCUUAGAUAUCACGAAGAACUCCGAUUGCGAAGGCAGCUUACUAACCUGUAACUGACAUUGAUGCUCGAAAGUGUGGGUAUCAAACAGGAUUAGAUACCCUGGUAGUCCACACGGUAAACGAUGAAUACUCGCUGUAGGCGAUAUACAGUCUGCGGCCAAGCGAAAGCAUUAAGUAUUCCACCUGGGGAGUACGCCGGCAACGGUGAAACUCAAAGGAAUUGACGGGGGCCCGCACAAGCGGAGGAACAUGUGGUUUAAUUCGAUGAUACGCGAGGAACCUUACCCGGGCUUAAAUUGCAACCGAAUAUGGCGGAAACGCUAUAGCUAGCAAUAGCGGUUGUGAAGGUGCUGCAUGGUUGUCGUCAGCUCGUGCCGUGAGGUGUCGGCUUAAGUGCCAUAACGAGCGCAACCCUUGCCGAUAGUUACUAACAGGUUAUGCUGAGGACUCUGUCGGGACUGCCAUCGUAAGAUGUGAGGAAGGUGGGGAUGACGUCAAAUCAGCACGGCCCUUACGUCCGGGGCUACACACGUGUUACAAUGGGGGGUACAGAGGGCUGCUACCACGCAAGUGGAUGCCAAUCCCAAAAACCUCUCUCAGUUCGGAUUGAAGUCUGCAACCCGACUUCAUGAAGCUGGAUUCGCUAGUAAUCGCGCAUCAGCCACGGCGCGGUGAAUACGUUCCCGGGCCUUGUACACACCGCCCGUCAAGCCAUGGGAGCCGGGGGUACCUGAAGUGCGUAACCGCAAGGAGCGCCCUAGGGUAAAACA